rnacentral:rRNA from 1 species
UUAACACAUGCAAGUCGAACGAAGCACCUUGAUUUGAUUCUUCGGAUGAAGAUCUUGGUGACUGAGUGGCGGACGGGUGAGUAACGCGUGGGUAACCUGCCUCAUACAGGGGGAUAACAGUUAGAAAUGACUGCUAAUACCGCAUAAGACCACAGCACCGCAUGGUGCAGGGGUAAAAACUCCGGUGGUAUGAGAUGGACCCGCGUCUGAUUAGGUAGUUGGUGGGGUAACGGCCUACCAAGCCGACGAUCAGUAGCCGACCUGAGAGGGUGACCGGCCACAUUGGGACUGAGACACGGCCCAAACUCCUACGGGAGGCAGCAGUGGGGAAUAUUGCACAAUGGGGGAAACCCUGAUGCAGCGACGCCGCGUGAGCGAUGAAGUAUUUCGGUAUGUAAAGCUCUAUCAGCAGGGAAGAAAAUGACGGUACCUGACUAAGAAGCACCGGCUAAAUACGUGCCAGCAGCCGCGGUAAUACGUAUGGUGCAAGCGUUAUCCGGAUUUACUGGGUGUAAAGGGAGCGUAGACGGAGUGGCAAGUCUGAUGUGAAAACCCGGGGCUCAACCCCGGGACUGCAUUGGAAACUGUCAAUCUAGAGUACCGGAGA